UCAAACUUGGUCAUUUAGAGGAAGUAAAAGUCGUAACAAGGUUUCCGUAGGUGAACCUGCGGAAGGAUCAUUAAAGAGAGUGUGUGGUGUGGGUGUGCGUGGAAGCGCAUGCUACAACACACAACAAAAAGGCAUGGUGCCGCGUGCGGUGCCGUGUUGGCCAGUGUUUUGAUGAUGCAGUGGGAAUAGCAGCUUGGCGGGAGUUAUGCAAGUACACAUCUUGUGCCUGCAUGCCCGUCAACAUUUUUUAUCAUCACACCACAAUCAACGACACAACGAUCACUGAGUGUAUCCAUACACAAAACAACCCAAUACAACUGUUGGCAACGGAUCACUCGGCUCUCGCAUCGAUGAAGAACGCAGC
rnacentral:misc_RNA from 1 species